AACCCUAACUAGUCUCGUGAUGAGGCGUGCGAGGGCUGUCGCUGACUUUUUGAGACACAAAAGUCGUGCACGCCGGAGUGCGUCCUCUCACAUAAAAUCCAUCUCACCCUUUUGUGCACCACCGCGUGGGCACCCUUUGGGAUCGAAUCGAUCCAGGAGGGGGCUUGCGUUUUCACACACACCCCUUUUAAAAAGUGUAGAAUGACCCCACUUUGCUAUACGCAAUCAAUACAACUUUCAACAACGGAUCUCUUGGCUCUCGCAUCGAUGAAGAACGCAGCGAAAUGCGAUACGUAAUGUGAAUUGCAGAAUUCAGUGAAUCAUCGAAUCUUUGAACGCACCUUGCGCCCCUUGGUAUUCCGAGGGGCACACCCGUUUGAGUGUCGUGAAAAUCUCAACCUUCUCGGUUUUCUUCUGGACACCGAAGGAGGCUUGGACUUUGGAGGCCUUUGCUGGCAUCUCUCUCUUCUUGAGAGCCAGCUCCUCUUAAAUGAAUUAGCGGGGUCCUCUUUGCCGAUCCUCGACAUGUGAUAAGAUGUUUCCAUGACUUGGUUUCUGGCUCUGUUGCCUUUGGGACCCGCUUCUAACCGUCUCGACGAGACGACGUUUGGGCGCGUCUCCCUUCUCGGGAGACACUCUCAACCCCACGAACCCUUGACCUCAAAUCGGGUGAGACUACCCGCUGAACUUAAGCAUAUCAAUAAGCGGAGGAAAAGAAACUAACAAGGAUUCCCCUAGUAACUGCGAGUGAAGCGGGAAAAGCUCAAAUUUAAAAUCUGGUGGUCUUUGGCCAUCCGAGUUGUAAUUUAGAGAAGCGUCUUCCGCGCUGGACCGUGUAAAAAUUCUCUUGAGG
rnacentral:rRNA from 1 species